GAUUAGAUACCCUGGUAGUCCACGCCCUAAACGAUGUAUACUAGUUGUUGCUAUGCUAGUCAUGGCAGUAAUGCACCUAACGGAUUAAGUAUACCGCCUGGGGAGUACGGUCGCAAGAUUAAAACUCAAAGGAAUAGACGGGGACCCGCACAAGCGGUGGAGCAUGUGGUUUAAUUCGAUGAUACGCGAAGAACCUUACCUGGGCUUGAUAUCCUAAGAACCUCUUAGAGAUAAGAGGGUGCUAGCUUGCUAGAACUUAGAGACAGGUGCUGCACGGCUGUCGUCAGCUCGUGUCGUGAGAUGUUGGGUUAAGUCCCGCAACGAGCGCAACCCACGUAUUUAGUUGCUAACGGUUCGGCCGAGCACUCUAAAUAGACUGCCUUCGUAAGGAGGAGGAAGGUGUGGACGACGUCAAGUCAUCAUGGCCCUUAUGCCCAGGGCGACACACGUGCUACAAUGGCAUAUACAAUGAGACGCAAUACCGCGAGGUGGAGCAAAUCUAUAAAAUAUGUCCCAGUUCGGAUUGUUCUCUGCAACUCGAGAGCAUGAAGCCGGAAUCGCUAGUAAUCGUAGAUCAGCCAUGCUACGGUGAAUACGUUCCCGGGUCUUGUACUCACCGCCCGUCACACCAUGGGAGUUGAUUUCACUCGAAGCCGGAAUACUAAACUAGUUACCGUCCACAGUGGAAUCAGCGACUGGGGUGAAGUCGUAACAAGGUAACCGUAGGAGAACCUGCGGUUGGAUCACCUCCUUUCUAGA
rnacentral:rRNA from 1 species